UACGAAGGGGGCAAGCGUUGUUCGGAAUUACUGGGCGUAAAGGGCGCGUAGGCGGCCGAUCAAGUCAGGCGAGAAAUUCCCGGGCUCAACCUGGGGGCUGCGCUUGAUACUGAUUGGCUUGAAUGCGGGAGAGGAUAGUGGAAUUCCCAGUGUAGAGGUGAAAUUCGUAGAUAUUGGGAAGAACACCGGUGGCGAAGGCGGCUAUCUGGCCCGUAAUUGACGCUGAGGCGCGAAAGCGUGGGGAGCAAACAGG
rnacentral:rRNA from 1 species